GACGAACGCUGGCGGCGUGCUUAACACAUGCAAGUCGUACGGUAAGGCCCUUUCGGGGGUACACGAGUGGCGAACGGGUGAGUAACACGUGAGUAACCUGCCCACAACUUUGGGAUAACGCUAGGAAACUGGAGCUAAUACUGGAUAUGUGCUCCUGCUGCAUGGUGGGGGUUGGAAAGCUCCGGCGGUUGUGGAUGGACUCGCGGCCUAUCAGCUUGUUGGUGGGGUAGUGGCCUACCAAGGCGGCGACGGGUAGCCGGCCUGAGAGGGUGACCGGCCACAUUGGGACUGAGAUACGGCCCAGACUCCUACGGGAGGCAGCAGUGGGGAAUAUUGCACAAUGGGCGCAAGCCUGAUGCAGCAACGCCGCGUGCGGGAUGACGGCCUUCGGGUUGUAAACCGCUUUCAGCAGGGACGAAGCUUUUUGUGACGGUACCUGCAGAAGAAGCACCGGCUAACUACGUG
rnacentral:rRNA from 1 species